rnacentral:rRNA from 1 species
CCUACGGGGAGCUGCAGUGGGGGAUAUUGCACAAUGGGGGGAACCCUGAUGCAGCGACGCCGCGUGGGUGAAGAAGCGCCUCGGCGCGUAAAGCCCUGUCAGCAGGGAAGAAAAUGACGGUACCUGAAGAAGAAGCCCCGGCUAACUACGUGCCAGCAGCCGCGGUAACACGGAGGGGGCAAGCGUUAUCCGGAUUUACUGGGUGUAAAGGGGGCGCAGACGGCGAUGCAAGCCAGGAGUGAAAGCCCGGGGCCCAACCCCGGGACUGCUCUUGGAACUGCGUGGCUGGAGAGCAGGAGGGGCAGGCGGAAUGCCUGGUGUAGCGGUGAAAUGCGUAGAUAUCAGGAGGAACACCGGUGGCGAAGGCGGCCUGCUGGACUGCAACUGACGUUGAGGCCCGAAAGCGUGGGGAGCAAACAGGAUUAGAUACCCCUGUAGUC